GAUUUCUAGUUUCACACCAUUGUGGUUGGAAAAAAUACUUGAUAUGAUGUCAGUCUUCUUAAAUUUAUUGAGUCUUGCAUUUCUAUC